GCUUGGUUGGCUCAGUGGUUGGGCGCCUGCCUUCGGCUCAAGUCGUGAUCCUGGGGUCUGGGAUCAAGUCCCAGAUCAGGCU
rnacentral:tRNA from 1 species